GGGCCAGGUUGGUCUUUCUCGUGCCUUUCUCAUAAUAGUGUCUUUGACUGGGAAAGAAUGCAGGCAACAUAUUAGAUCUCUCGGGCCAUCCUCCAGGGUUCUGGGCCGCAUGGUUCUGUGUGCCCUUUCAAACUCUAUGUGCUGCGGUGAGGUUGGUUGCAGGAUGGACUGAAAAAGUUCAGUAAGUAUUUCCACCACAUCUUCU